GGCAGUCACAUGAUGAAGAUGAGCGUUUCCUUCCACCAUCAACGGAUUCGUCCGUCCAAUCAAAAACACUUCGCGGUUGGAGGCCUGAUUCACGCUCGCUUAUCCAACAAGACUUAAACUCUCGUCCGCACGCAAAGUCUUCGAGCAAUUCACCUCCAAAAAAGAAAAAGGUCUUCGCAAAAUCCGCCACUCGUUCCUCAUCACCCACCAACCCACAGAACGGAGCUCGUGGUUACAUCGAGGAUCUUCCUCCAUCCCCUCGCUGAUCUCGCCCGCUUCUCAACAUCUUGCCGGUGUAUUUAACGAACCUCCAAGCUGCUGCUUUGCCCGAUCCUGGAUGGCCUUUGCCGCCUCCCUCGAAUCAUUUAGGAUUUUCCAAGGUUUAUAGGAAUUUUUCUAUGGCGACGUGAAUCAGAAAAGAUAGCAAGUGGAUCAGAGAAGAUAGAAGAGACAAAGGAUGAGAACAAGAUCAUUUAUUAAUUUGAGCAGCAGCAUGAGCUAAAGACUGUGUUUUCCUCAAGAUUUGGAUCUCUUUGUUGUGGUUUCUCUGCAUAAAUCUUAGAGUGUUUGUAGGAUUUUUGGAUUAAUGGGAGGCAAAGGAUCCACAGAGACAGGCGGCAGUAGAAAUAUCAGGCAUCCUCCUCCACAUCAUGACCGCAGCAGCUAUUCGCAGGAGCAGCCUUAUCAUAGCCAUUCCCGGGAAUGGCCUCCAUAUCGGGAUUACGGCUAUGAUAACCCACCUCAAGGUUACCCUGUGACUCGCCCAUACUCUCCUCCUAGAGGUUACCCUCCUCAGGGCUACCCACCACAAGCUUCGACUUAUCCACGGCCUCCUCAGUUGCAAAAUCCUUCCUCACAUGCCACCAGUUCGCAUCCCAAGUUGGACCGUAGAUACUCGAAGAUAGCUGAUAACUACAAUUCGUUGGAGCAGGUUACUGAGGCUCUUGCACAAUCAGGUCUUGAAUCUUCAAAUCUAAUUGUCGGUAUUGAUUUCACAAAGAGCAAUGAGUGGACAGGUAAGCACUCAUUCAACCGCCGCAGCUUGCAUUCCAUCAGUGAUACUAAAAAUCCUUAUGAACAAGCAAUAUCUAUCAUCGGACAAACGUUGUCAGCAUUUGAUGAGGAUAACUUAAUCCCUUGUUUUGGGUUUGGAGAUGCAUCAACACAUGACCAAGAUGUCUUCAGUUUCUACCCAGAUGAAAGACCUUGUAAUGGGUUUCCAGAGGCUUUAGCACGAUACAGAGAAAUUGUUCCACAUCUACGAUUAGCUGGGCCAACAUCCUUUGCUCCAAUAGUUGAAAUGGCUAUGACCAUUGUGGAGCAGAGUGGUGGGCAGUACCAUGUUUUAUUGAUAAUUGCUGAUGGGCAGGUAUAUCACCUUUUGUCCAAAGUUUGUUCCUUUUUAUUGGAGAUGAUACUGUUUUUUGUUGAUUAUGACUGCUAUAGCAAUUGCAAAUGGUUGUUUGAGGUUACAAGAAGUGUAGAUAUUGAAUUUGGCCAGUUAAGCUCCCAAGAACAGAAGACAGUUGAUGCAAUUGUCAGAGCUAGUGAAUUUCCAUUAUCUAUUAUAUUGGUUGGAGUUGGGGAUGGACCCUGGGACAUGAUGAAGGAAUUUGAUGAUAAUAUUCCUGCUAGAACUUUUGACAAUUUCCAAUUUGUGAAUUUUACCGCAAUUAUGUCAAAGAACAUGCCUCAAAGCAGAAAAGAGACAGAGUUUGCGCUUGCAGCACUGAUGGAAAUACCUGCACAAUAUAAAGCAACUAUAGAGCUUGGGAUCUUAGGUCAUCGGGCUGCAAAGUCUCCUGAAAGAGUCCCUCUUCCACCACCUAUUGGAAGUUUCGGUGCAGCUUCCUCUGGACCAAAUACUUUUGGAUCAAUGGGUUAUCGGGAGAGUGUACCAUCUUAUCCUGAAUAUAAACCGACACAAACCACAGCUCCUGCUGCAAGUGCUUCUGGGGAAGCUCAGGUUUGUCCGAUCUGCCUUUCAAACCCCAGAGACAUGGCUUUCGGCUGUGGGCACCAGACGUGCCGUGACUGUGGACCAAAUCUUGUAACUUGUCCCAUCUGUCGCAGCCCAAUUCAGACCAGAAUAAAGCUCUAUUAAGGUCACUGCAUUGAUGUAUGGAGACUGGAGAGGAUAUGCUGUUCCGAUUUAAACAGCAUGGACUUUGUUCAGGAUAAUCAUAAUUUUCAGUCCAGUGGAUUAUCUAGAUUUCCGUCGGUCCAGUGGAUUGACAGCUAUGAGUAUGCUGAGCAAUGUCUUUGCUGUUUAGGAGGCAACUGCAAACCUUUCCUUGCCCAUGUUUGCGUAACUCGUGUCUGUUUCUUUUCACACAUUCUAUCUUGCUGUCUUAGAUGUCUAUACGAAGGCCUGCAUAUGUGUUUGGCACACGUGUGUUUUUGUGUGUGCAUGUGUUUUGAGUAUAUAUAUAUAUAUAUCAGUGUUGUGCGUGAGUGCAUGCAUGCAUUUGUUCAUGGUGUCUGGAACUGCUGCAGCUCUGAUAGGCCAAUUUGCUUGCGGUGAAGUGGCCCAAGAAGAGGCCUGUCAGGGAUCCAACCAAUCUGAACCCCUACCCAGUUCAGAAGGGGCCAUCCUCCAAUACAUCGCCAUGCAGCUAAAGUGGGAGGUUGCCAUCCCAGAGACUGAACAACCUUGUCCCCAUGUGCAGAGCUUUGUCAAGUGAGAUCAUUGGGAUCCAAUCACUGAACCUGUUGCAGAUUCUCUUCAGGGAUUUUUGCCAUCAUUUUGUACCAUUCAGAGCAAUCUGUGUUCCAUCCAUUUCAUCUGGGCACAGCUUAUAUGAUGGAUGGAUUUGGACUUGUCAAUUAUCAGGUUUUAAGGAAUUCAGAAUGCUGAGCAUGCAUUUGUGUGGGCAACAGAAUAUUUUGCACGAGUGGAUGGAUCUUUGAAUAGUGGCAUCUAUUCAACGUGUUCAGGUGCAACCAUGCUCUAUUACUGCUGAAGAAAUAUAUCCAAUGGAUUAAUUCUAAUCAUACAUUAUAUGAGAGAAGGGAUCCAGAACUGUCAUUCAGGAAAAUUGGGUCCAAGGAAUGACAGCAAAUUCUGGUUUGUGCAUCUGGAAAGAGACUGGGCUUCCCUUAAGCCAAAUGAGUAGGCUAUAACAGAACCUGAGGUGCUGCGGGAGCUUUAAAUGACCCAAAUUAAAUGGUUGUCGGAGUACAAAGGUUAUUUCGACUUAAAUGCCAACAAAAGAGCUAUCAGCAUUGUGGUGUCAAUGAGCCCUUGCCUCCUGGUAUUUAUAAAGGAAGUAGGAACAUCAGCUUUUUAUCAUGCAGCUGUACAAACAGGCGACAAAGGAAUUGUCUUUGCUUAGUGCAAAUGGAAACCAGAUCAGAGAAACUUCUGAAGGAGGAAUUAAGCUAGUGGGGCACACUGGUUUGCCUGACUCUGGUGUCAAGAGAAAAGCUGACUUUGGUUUAAUGUGAUAUGCUUGCAUAAUCAUGGAUUUUUGACAAUCUUCAUGCCUAUUAUGUCUGGAGUCAAAAAGAGAAUGUUGUGGAGGGACAAAGAUUUUUAGAUAUUGGAUGUUACUUCUGAACAAGGCAUGUGCCUUAUCAUAAGAUUAUUCCUUUGUUUCUUUGAUUUCCAAUGAGGAUGAUAAAUAAUCAGCGCAAAGAUAUUUUGCUUAUCAGCUCAAAGAUAUUUUGCAAACAUUGGAAUUUACUGAAUAUGCAACAUUUGUAUUGGAGAGACUGAUAGACAGUGAUACUUGCAUACACUCUAAUUCUUUCUUCACUCAAAAGCUGCACGAAAUCAAGGGUCUAAUGAUCUUGAAACUAGACUGGAGAAAGCUCAUGAUGGCUUAUUAUUCUUACUUUUUGUGGAUGAUCUGGAAUCUCUAUUUUGUGGAAGGUUCAUAUCUUGAAGGCUGAUCUUUUCCUUGCAUGGUUAUUUUCUUUAAGAUUAUCAGCCCUUCAGAGACAAAAAGGCCCACCUAGAGAAUAAAAAAGCCCCUCAUAUCUUAUAAUUCAUCUUCAUUUAUUGUGUAAUGAUUCUCAAGAAAUAUUGGAAGAAUUUUAAAUGCUCAUGUUUACAAGGAGACACUAGAUGCAGAAUUCCUUUGGCAGACAAGAAAACAGUGUUAUCAGUUCUAUGCUUUGUUAGUGAAAUAAUGACAAGCACAUGCUUGUGAAAUGGAAGUUCCAAUCCUGAGGAAGCAUAAUUAAUCUGCCAGAACUUGUUCUGCCACCCUUGUUUAUCAAGUUGCGUCUUUGCGAGUCUCCAGAUGUGUUCAAAGAUCCAGAUAUUGCCAAGAAACAUGAGAAAUCACAAUAAGAAGAGAAGGAUUAUGCCCUGUAGCAUGGGAAGUAGUCUCUUCCUCAGGAAGACAACCCUGGUUGAUACGUGUAUGCUAACUUACAUGCUGCUUCUUAAGCUAGCUUUGAAAUUUUUGCAUUUUUCCUUGAUACUUCGGAACAAGCCGCUGCUUGUCAAAUACUGACUCAUCAGCACUGAUUGAUGGCUUUGAUAUACUGCUGUAAAAAGAUUGCAAUUUGAGAACCAUAGCUGAAUGAUAUGAAGAACUCGAGCUCUUAAACAUUUGAUUGGACUCCAGCAAUUUGAUUUGGCUCAUCUGGUUAAUCAUAUGAUCUGGAUGAUGAUUGAAAUCAGCAUUUCAUGACCAGAGGAUUCCCUGAAACUUCAUAACUGGAAAAGUUGGGAGGAAUCUCUGCUAUUGAUGGAUGGUGGUAGAUGCAUUAGUGUCAUAUUUUAAUUACUUUAUGUGUCUGCAAUCAUCUUGAUUUCAAGGAGAGAGUGAGCUUCCGGUAUUGUGCCCUGCACUCAAAACUUGGGAUUGGAUGGGGAACACGGAAAAUGUUGAUAAAGAAAGAAAAAUUGAUGCAUGUUUAAGGUGUCCACAUUCUAGGUAUAAAGUUUCUACAAAUAAACGUGUUGUGUGUUUAUUUAGUCGUCCAAAAUUUGGGUGCUGCAGAGGUAGCAACAAUACAAUCAUAGAUUGCAUGGAACGGAGAUUAUUCUUUAUUGAGCUUUUUUGCAGAUAUAUUUCCUGUAAAUUGGUGUCUUAGCUUUGUCUUGGUUAGCACCUCUUUUCCACUUGUAAGAAACAGAGGAUUCAAACCUUAAUGAUGAUGUUAUUAUUGUAUUCUUCAAAAAAGAAGGAAAAUUCAAUCAUCUA